rnacentral:rRNA from 1 species
CAUAGCGACUAUCGUGGCAUAUCAAUAAGCGGAGGAAAAGAAACUAACAAGGAUUCCCCUUAGUAACGGCGAGUGAAGCGGGAAGAGCUCAAAUUUGAAAUCUUCAAGGGUUCUACCUUGACGAAUUGUAGUUUAUAGAAGUGUUUUCUGUUAGUAGAGGUGGCUAAAAGUUCUUGGAAUAGGACAUCAUAGAGGGUGAGAAUCCCGUAUUUGAUCAUUCUUUCUAACGUUGUGAUACACUUUCAACGAGUCGGAUUGUUUGGGAAUGCAGUCCAAAAUGGGUGGUAAAUUUCAUCUAAAGCUAAAUAUUGGCGAGAGACCGAUAGCGAACAAGUACCGUGAGGGAAAGAUGAAAAGAACUUUGAAAAGAGAGUUAAACAGUACGUGAAAUUGUCAAAAGGGAAGCGUUUGACACCAGUGUUGUUUAGUUGAAAAUCAAUUCAAUAUUUUUGAUUUUGAAGUAGUAUUGACUUCAUCAGCUUGCCGCUUUCUUUUCCGAAAUUAUUGAAUGCACUUUUCAGUUAACAAGUCAACAUCAAUUUCUUUUGUUGUAAAAGGGUAAGAGGAAGGUGGCUUACGCUUCGGCGUCAAGUGUUUAUAGCCUUUUACCUCUGCAAUCGGAGAGAUUGAGGUCAUGCAGCGUAGACUCCUUCGGGGUUAGAUACACUUGUGCUAAGCUAUAGCCUUGUAUAGACAACUUGUUGACUAUGCUCAGUCAUGUAGCUUACUCGCAUGAUGCUAUUUUACCUACGCUUAGGAUGUUGAUAUGCAUGACUGAUAU